UGAAAGGCAUAUUUGGAUGAUAAAUGAGUAGGGCGGGACACGUGAAAUCCUGUCUGAAUAUGGGGGGACCAUCCUCCAAGGCUAAAUACUCCUGAAAGACCGAUAGUGAACAAGUACUGUGAAGGAAAGGUGAAAAGCACUUCGAAUAGAAGGGUGAAAUAGAACCUGAAACCGUACGCCUACAAGCGGUCGGAGCAGCGUUAAUGCUGUGACGGCGUGCCUUUUGCAUAAUGAGCCUACGAGUUAAUCUUACUAGCGAGGUUAAGGACUUAAGGUCCGGAGCCGUAGCGAAAGCGAGUCUGAAUAGGGCGAAUAGUUAGUGGGAUUAGACGCGAAACCUUGUGAUCUACCCAUGGGCAGGUUGAAGCUUUGGUAACACAAAGUGGAGGACCGAACCGGUUGACGUUGAAAAGUCUUCGGAUGACCUGUGGGUAGGGGUGAAAGGCCAAUCAAACUGGGAGAUAGCUCGUACUCCCCGAAAUGCAUUUAGGUGCAGCGUCGAUAUAGUUUAUUAGAGGUAGAGCUACUGAUUGGAUGCGGGGGUUUCAUCGCCUACCAAUUCCUGACAAACUCCGAAUGCUAAUAAAUGAUUGUCGGCAGUGAGGGCAUGGGUGCUAAGGUCCAUGUCCGAGAGGGAAAGAACCCAGACCAACAGCUAAGGUCCCUAAAUAUAUGCUAAGUUGAAAGAACGCGGUUGGACUGCAUUGACAGCUAGGAUGUUGGCUUGGAAGCAGCCAUUCAUUUAAAGAGUGCGUAACAGCUCACUAGUCGAGCGGUCCGGCAUGGAUAAUAAUCGGGCAUAAGCAUAUUACCGAAGCUAUGGCAGUAUUUAAUACUGGGUAGGGGAGCAUUCUAUUUGCGCCGAAGCAGUACUGUGAGGUAUUGUGGAGCGGAUAGAAAAGAAAAUGUAGGCAUAAGUAACGAUAAAGGGGGCGAGAAACCCCCUCACCGAAAGACUAAGGUUUCCUCAGCCAUGCUAAUCAGCUGAGGGUUAGUCGGGGCCUAACGCGAAGCCGACAGGCGUAGUGGAUGGACAACGGGUUAAUAUUCCCGUACCAGUAUAUUAAUAAAAGUGACGGAGUUGGAAACUAGGUGCGUACUGAC
rnacentral:rRNA from 1 species